GCCUCGGUAGCUCAGUUGGUUAGAUUGCUGCACCGGAAUCGCAGGGCCGUAGGUUCAAUUCCUACCAGAGGAC